rnacentral:sRNA from 1 species
UUGUUAGGGAUCAGUUGCGGGUUGAUGAAGUGUUGGAUUAUACGAAGGAACGAGAAGGGUUGGGUGCGGCGUUUAGAAAACGCGGCUGGGCGCCGGUGGAUUUUGUACUGGAUUGUGUUGGGGGACAGACGCUGAAGCAGGCGUAUGAUGCCGCUGUUGUCAGGGAUGGGGGGAUUGUUGUUAGCAUUGCGCAGCCCGUUCCUGAGAAGGAGCCGGAGUGGGCGGAUGUGAGGGAUGCGGUUGUGAAAAGGGGCUUGACGAGUCGGUUUUUCAUUGUCAGGCCGGAUGGGGAGCAGUUGGGGA